CUUUUUUUUAAGUGUUGGCAUCUGUUGGGCGACUCGAUGACAGGAGAAGUUUUGGAUGCUAUCAAUAACAAACAAAUCCCUGAAGGUUGGAAUGACAUUGUGAUAGUUCUCAUGCCGAAAGUGGAUGAUCCAGAAUUAAUUACGCAAUAUAGGCCCAUCAGCUUGUGUAACGUGUUGUAUAAGGUAAUAUCCAAAAUGAUCGCUCUACAUCUUAAACAGGUGUUGGAUGAUAUUAUUUCUCGAGUACAGAGUGCCUUUGUUCCUGGAAGACUGAUUACUGAUAACAUAUUGUUGGCCUAUGAAAGUAUCCAUGCUAUUAAAAAUAAGAAGGGGAAAUGGGGUUAUUGUGCGGUAAAGCUGGACAUGCAUAAAGCUUAUGACUGAGUAGAAUUGCAAUUCCUACAGGAUAUGAUGAUUCAAUUAGGUUUUCAUCAAGAGUUUGUGGAGCUUCUAAUGGCGUGUGUACAAUCUAUAAAAUAUAAGGUGAGGUUUAAUAAUCAAGAAACAAACUCUUUCACCCAGAGAGGGGGCUUUGCCAGGGAGAUUCUCUCUCCCCAUACCUGUUUCUGAUUUGUGCUGAGGGCUUAUCUAGUUUGUUGUCUCAUAAAGAGGAGGUUCGUGGCAUAGAAGGUUUCAGGGUUUGCAGAAAUGCACCAUCAGUUUCCCAUUUAUUAUUUGCUGAUGAUUCCCUUGUCCUUAUGAAAGCAGAUAUGAAUAAUGCAACCUCAUUGAGACAGGUACUGGAGCUGUAUUGUGCAAGUUCUGGACAGCUUGUGAGUGAAGCAAAAUGCAGCAUAUAGUUUAGUAAUGUAAGUGUUGAAACAAAGGCCAAUAUAUGUACUGAACUAAAUAUUAUGUCAGAAGCUCUUUCUGACAAGUAUUUAGGAUUACCUGCAAUGGUGGGAGUAGACUGAAGUGACAGUUUUGUUCAUUUACUCGAAAGGAUCAUUGCUAGGCUAAAAAGUUGGAACGAAAAGUUUUUAUCCAUGGGGGGGAGGAAAUUUUGCUAAAAGCAGUCAUGCAAUCUAUUCCUGUCUUCGCUGUGUCUAUUUUCAAUAUCCCCAAGAAAUCAUGUAAGGAGAUGAUUGAUGCAAUGUCUGAAUUUUGGUGGGGUGGCUCUGAGAACACAAAACAUAUGCAUUGGAUGGCUUGGUGGAGGAUGUGCAUUUCCAGGAGGGGUGGAGGUAUGGGGUUUCGUGAUCUACAUUCUUUUAAUCUAACAAUGCUAGCAAAACAGUCAUGGAGACUUAUUUCUACUCCUGAUUCAUUUGUGCACAAGUACUGAAAUCUAAACAUUUCCCAAAUUGUUUAUUACUCAAACUGGCCCAAAGAAGGGGUCCAACUUUACCUGGCAAAGCAUUGUGGCGGGUCCGAACACUUUCCGAAGAGCACAUGCAUGGCGUGUUGGUACGGGUGAGAUGAUUAAUAUUUGGGAGGAUCAUUGGGUGCCAGGUAGUCCUUCUCGUAUGAUACAGACGCCAAAGGGGAAUAUUAUGCUACAGUAUGUAAACGAGCUAAUCAGUCCGGUUAGUGGUCUCUGGGAUGAGGUGUUGUUGAGAGAUAUAUUCUCUCCCAUUGACGUUGACAGAAUUCUUAAGAUUACACUAAGUGAACACGUAGGAGAUGUUGGAAAUAUGCCCUGGAGGCAAUAAUAAAAUGGUUAUUAUUAUAUUUCCUUGUUCAUGAUAAUCGUCUAUUGUUCAUGUUAUAAUUGUGUUAUCCGGAAAUCGUAAUACAUGUGCGAACACAUAGACCAUAACAUGUCCCUAGUGAGCCUCUAGUUGACUAGCUCGUUGAUCAAUAGAUGGUUACGGUUUCCUGACCAUGGACAUUGGAUGUCAUUGAUAACGGGAUCACAUCAUUAGGAGAAUGAUGUGAUGGACAAGACCCAAUCCUAAGCAUAGCACUAGAUCGUGUAGUUCGUUUGCUAAAGCUUUUCUAAUGUCAAGUAUCAUUUCCUUAGACCAUGAGAUCGUGCAACUCCCGGAUACCGUGGGAAUGCUUUGGGUGUACCAAACGUCACAACGUAACUGGGUGGCUAUAAAGGUGCACUACAGGUAUCUCCGAAAUCGGAUCGAGACUGGGAUUUGUCACUCCGUAUGACGGAGAGGUAUCUCUGGGCCCACUCGGUAAUGCAUCAUCAUAAUGAGCUCAAUGUAACUAAGUACUUAGUCACGGAUCAUGCAUUACGGAAUGAGUAAAGUGACUUGCCGGUAACGAGAUUGAACGAGGUAUUGGGAUACCGACGAUCGAAUCUCGGGCAAGUAACGUACCGAUUGACAAAGGGAAUUGUAUACGGGAUUGCUUGAAUCCUCGACAUCGUGGUUCAUCCGAUGAGAUCAUCGUGGAACGUGUGGGAGCCAACAUGGGUAUCCAGAUCCCGCUAUUGGUUAUUGGCUAGAGAGGUGUCUCGGUCAUGUCUGCAUGAUUCCCGAACCCGUAGGGUCUACACACUUAAGGUUCGAUGACGCUAGGGUUAUAAGGAAGGUUUGUAUGUGAUUACCGAAUGUUGUUCGGAGUCCCAGAUGAGAUCCUGGACGUCACGAGGAGUUCCGUAUUGGUCCGGAGGUGAAGAUUUAUAUAUGGGAAGUCAUCAUACGGUCACCGGAAAUAUUCGGAGGUAUACCGGUAUUGUACCGGGACCACCGGAGGGGUUCCGGGAGUCCACCUGCCCCGGAGGGCCCUAUGGGCUAUAGGUGGAAGGGAACCAGCCCCUAAGUGGGCUGGGCGCCAUCCCCCUAGGGCCCAUGCGCCUAGGGUUGGGAGGAACCCUAAAAGGGGGCGCCCCCUUGCUUGGGGGGCAAGCCCCCUCCCCCUUGGCCGUCGCCCCCCCUCUAGAUCUCAUCUAGAGGGGCCGGCCCCCUUCCCCCUUUUCCCUAUAAAUAGAGGGGUGGAGGGAGGGCUGCAGCACCACAUCCAAGGCGCAGCCCCUCCCCUCCCCAACACCUCUCCUCCUCCGCGUGAGCUUGGCGAAGCCCUGCCGGAGAACUGCCACUCCACCACCACCACGCCGUCGUGCUGCUGUUGGAGCCUUCUUCCUCAACCUCUCCCUCCUCCUUGCUGGACCAAGGCGCGGGAGACGUCACCGGGCUGCACGUGUGUUGAACGAGGAGGCGCCGUUGUUCGGCGCUUGGAUCGGAAUCAACCGCGAUCUGAAUCGCUACGAGUACGACUCCCUCAUCUGCGUUCUUGUAACGCUUCCGUCUCGCGAUCUUCAACGGUAUGAAGAUGCACUUCCCUCUCUCUCGUUGCUAGUUACUCCAUAGAUUGAUCUUGGUGAUGCGUAGAAAUUUUUUAAUUUCUGCAACGAUCCCCAACAGGAGAGGAUUUCAUUGCCUGGCAUUAUACAAAAUCCUAUACUUUCUCCGUACGAUUUGCUUACUAUAUUGAAUGGGACCAUUCCCAUCGACAUAGACUAACUCUUGAAGAUGGCUAGAGUACAUCAAGGCGCAACCCUGUGUGGGACAUUUUAUGGAAAUUACAAGUGCCAAACAAAGUUAAAAUCUUUGGGUCGAAGGCUUUAGAUGGCAUGAUUCCAGGUUUUGCUAUUCUUGCUAAUAGGCAUAUUCCAAUUACUGCCCAGUGUCCUGUAUGUGAAAGUGGCCAUGAAGAUAUAAAACAUCUUAUGUUCACUUGUGUUCGUGAAAAAACAGUUUGGAAUUCUUUGGGGUUGCUGCAGUAUAUCAAUGAAGUUGUUCCAGUGGACCGAUCGGGUUCAGUCAUUUUGGAAGAAAUACUUUGACGGCCACAAAAUAAUUCUCUGGUGAUCAAGGGGGGUUUGAAGGAACUAAUCCUAGUGGGGGCAUGGUAUAUCUGGUGGCAAAGAAGGGAGUAUGUUAAGGGUCAACGUGUGGCAGAACCAGCUAGCUCAGCUUUCUCAAUUCAAGCCUUGACAUGUAAUUUUAUGGGAGCACAACUUAACUAUGAACCUCGUGAGAUCGCUUGGUCUAAGCCACCAGGUAAUACAUAUAAACUAAAUGUGGACGCUGCUUUCUCUGAAAAUGGAUAUGGAGGUGCGGGCGCUGUGGUACGCAACGACAGGGGAGAGGCGAACGCGGGUGCAUGAUGGCCGCUGCAGAAUCUUCUUGACGCGGCAAAUGCUGAAGAUACGACUCUCUUGAAAGGAUUAUGUUUAAUUGAGACUCUGGAUUGUGCUCCAGUUAUCAUAGAAUCUGACUCGUUGGAGCUUGUGGAAGCCUUCAAGGGAGUAAUUCAAGUCUGGUCCCCGUAUUUGGCGAUUCUUGCAGAUUGUUUCCAGGUUGCCUACAGGAUUGGCUCAAUUUCAAUUCAACACUGCUCCAGGGAGGCAAAUUUCGUGGCGCAUAAUUUAGCUAAACAUGCUUUUGUUUCUAAUUCUGCCGUUUUUGGGAUGAUGAUCCCCCUAGUUUCAUUAUCCCGGCCGUAAUGAAUGAUGUAUCUUUGUUUGAAUUGCAAUAAAACGCACCAUGAAGGCUUUCCCUGAAAAAACACGCGUCCCAUGAUAUCCAACUUUGGAGUCGAUUUUUAGGGUGAACUGAAAAACCAUGUGAUGGUUGGUGGGAGGGAAAUUUCUGUUGGAAAUAUGCCCUAGAGGCAAUAAUAAAUGGUUAUUAUUAUAUUUCUUUGUUCAUGAUAAUCGUCUAUUGUUCAUGCUAUAAUUGUAUUGUCCGGAAAUCGUAAUACAUGUGUGAAUGCAUAGACCACAACAUGUCCCUAGUAAGCCUCUAGUUGACUAGCUCGUUGAUCAACAGAUAGUCAUGGUUUCUGACUAUGGACAUUGGAUGUCAUUGAUAACGGGAUCACAUCAUUAGGAGAAUGAUGUGAUGGACAAGACCCAAUCCUAAGCAUAGCAUAAAAGAUCGUGUAGUUUCGUUUGCUAGAGCUUUUCCAAUGUCAAGUAUCUUUUCCUUAGACCAUGAGAUUGUGCAACUCCCGGAUACCGUAGGAGUGCUUUGGGUGUGCCAAACGUCACAACGUAACUGGGUGACUAUAAAGGUGCACUACGGGUAUCUCCGAAAGUGUCUGUUGGGUUGGCAUGGAUCGAGACUGGGAUUUGUCACUCCGUGUGACGGAGAGGUAUCUCUGGGCCCACUCGGUAAUGCAUCAUCAUAAUGAGCUCAAUGUGACUAAGGGUUAGUCACGGGAUCAUGCAUUGUGGUACGAGUAAAGAGACUUGCCGGUAACGAGAUUGAACAAGGUAUUGGGAUACCGACGAUCGAAUCUCGGGCAAGUAACAUACCGAUUAACAAAGGGAAUUGCAUACGGGGUUGAUUGAAUCCUCGACACCGUGGUUCAUCCGAUGAGAUCAUCGUGGAACAUGUGGGAGCCAACAUGGGUAUCCAGAUCCCGCUGUUGGUUAUUGACCGGAGAGGCGUCUCGGUCAUGUCUGCUUGUCUCCUGAACCCGUAGGGUCUACACACUUAAGGUUCGGUGACGCUAGGGUUAUAGAGAUAUGUGUAUGCGGAAACCCGAAAGUUGUUCGGAGUCCCGGAUGAGAUCCCAGACGUCACGAGAGGUUCCGGAAUGGUCCGGAGGUGAAGAAUUAUAUAUAGGAAGUCAAGUUUCGGCCAUCGGGAAAGUUUUGGGGGUUACCGGUAUUGUACCGGGACCACCGGAAGGGUCCCGGGGGUCCACCGGGUGGGGCCACCUAUCCCGGAGGGCCCCGUGGGCUGAAGUGGGAAGGGAACCAGCCCCUAGUGGGCUGGGCGCCCCCCCAUGGGCCUCCCCCCAUGCGCCUAGGGUUGGGAACCCUAGGGUGGGGAGGGCUUCCCACUUGCCUUGGGGGGCAAGGCACCCCCUUUCCCCCUUUGGCCGCCGCCCCCCCCCCCCUUGAGAUCCCAUCUCCAGGGCCGGCGCCCCCCCAGGGGGCCUAUAUAAAGGGGGGGAGGGCAGCAACAAGACAGCCUUGGGCGCCUCCCUCCUCCCCUGCUACACCUCUUCGUCUCGCAGAAGCUCGGCGAAGCCCUGCCGAGACCCGCUACAUCCACCACCACGCCGUCGUGCUGCUGGAUCUCCAUCAACCUCUCCUUCCCCCUUGCUGGAUCAAGAAGGAGGAGACGUCGCUGCACCGUACGUGUGUUGAACGCGGAGGUGCCGUCCGUUCGGCACUCGGUCAUCGGUGAUUUGGAUCACGGCGAGUACGACUCCGUCAUCCACGUUCAUUGGAACGCUUCCGCUCGCGAUCUACAAGGGUAUGUAGAUGCACUCCUUUCCCCUCGUUGCUAGUAUACUCCAUAGAUGCAUCUUGGUGAGCGUAGGAAAAUUUUAAAUUAUGCUACGAUUCCCAACAGUGGCAUCAUGAGCCAGGCCUAUGCGUAGUUACUAUGCACGAGUAGAACACAAAGCAGUUGUGGGUGUUGAGUUUGCCAAUUCUUCUUGCCGCUACUAGUCUUUUCUUGUUUCGGCGGUAUUGUAGGAUGAAGCGGCCCGGUCCGACCUUACACGUACGCUUACGUGAGACAGGUUCCACCGAUUGACAUGCACUAGUUGCAUAAGGUGGCUAGCGGGUGUCUGUCUCUCCUACUUUAGUCGGAACGGAUUCGAUGAAAAGGGUCCUUAUGAAGGGUAAAUAGAAAUUGGCAAAUCACAUUGUGGUCAUACGUAGGUAAGAAACGUUCUUGCUAGAAACCUAUAAACCACGUAAAAACUUGCAACAACAAUUAGAGGACGUCUAACUUGUUUUUGCAGCAAGUGCUAUGUGAUGUGAUAUGGCCAGAAGAUGUGAUGAAUGAUAUAUGUGAUGUAUGAGAUUGAUCAUAUUCUUGUAAUAGGAAUCACGACUUGCAUGUCGAUGAGUAUGACAACCGGCAGGAGCCAUAGGAGUUGUCUUUAUUAUUUUACAUGACCUGCGUGUCAUUGAAUAACGCCAUGUAAAUUACUUUACUUUGUUGCUAAACGCGUUAGCCGUAGAAGUAGAAGUAAUCGUUGGCGUGACGACUUCAUGAAGACACAAUGAUGGAGAUCAGGAUGAUGGAGAUCAUGGUGUCAUGCCGGUGACGAAGAUGAUCAUGGUGCCCCGAAGAUGGAGAUCAAAGGAGCAUAAUGAUAUUGGCCAUAUCAUGUCACUAUUUGAUUGCAUGUGAUGUUUAUCAUGUUUUUGCAUCUUAUUUUCUUAGAACGACGGUAGUAAGUAAGAUGAUCCCUUAUAAUAAUUUCAAGAAAGUGUUCACCCUAACUGUGCACCGUUGCGAAGGUUCGUUGUUUCGAAGCACCACGUGAUGAUCGGGUGUGAUAGAUUCUAACGUUCGAAUACAACGGGUGUUGACGAGCCUAGCAUGUACAGACAUGGCCUCGGAACACACGCAAUACACUUAGGUUGACUUGACGAGCCUAGCAUGUACAGACAUGGCCUCGGAACACGGAGGACCGAAAGGUUGAGCAUGAGUCGUAUAGAAGAUACGAUCAACAUGGAGAUGUUCACCGAUCUUGACUAGUCCGUCUCACGUGAUGAUCGGACACGGCCUAGUUAAACUCGGAUCAUGUUUCACUUAGAUGACUAGAGGGAUGUCUAUCUGAGUGGGAGUUCAUUAAAUAAUUUGAUUAGAUGAACUUAAUUAUCAUGAACUUAGUCUAAAAUCUUUACACUAUGUCUUGUAGAUCAAAUGGCCAACGUUGUCCUCAAUUUCAACGCGUUCCUAGAGAAAACCAAGCUAAAAGAUGAUGGCAGCAACUAUACGGACUGGGUCCGGAACCUGAGGAUCAUCCUCAUAGUAGCCAAGAAAGAUUAUGUCCUAGAAGCACCGCUAGGUGAUGCACCAAUCCCACAGAACCAAGACGUUAUGAACGCUUGGCAGCAGCGUGCUGAUGAUUACUCCCUCGUUCAGUGCGGCAUGCUUUACAGCCUAGAACCGGGUCUCCAAAAGCGUUUUGAGAAACAUGGAGCAUAUGAGAUGUUCGAGGAGCUGAAAUUGGUUUUCCAAGCUCAUGCUCGGGUCGAGAGAUAUGAAGUCUCCGACAAGUUCUUCAGCUGUAAAAUGGAGGAGAACAGUUCUGUUAGUGAGCACAUACUCAGAAUGUCUGGGUUGCAUAACUGCUUGUCUCAGCUGGGAGUCAAUCUCCCGGAUGACGCGGUCAUUGACAGAAUCCUCCAGUCGCUUCCACCAAGCUACAAGAGCUUUGUGAUGAACUUCAAUAUGCAGGGGAUGGAAAAAACCAUUCCCGAGGUAUAUUUAAUGCUGAAAUCAGCAGAGGUGGAGAUCAGAAAAGAACAUCAAGUGUUGAUGGUGAAUAAAACCACUAAGUUCAAGAAGGGCAAGGGUAAGAAGAACUUCAAGAAGGACGGCAAGGGAGUUGCCGCGCCCGGUAAGCCAGUUGCCGGGAAGAAGUCAAGGAAUGGACCCAAGCCCGAGACUGAGUGCUUUUAUUGCAAGGGAAGUGGUCACUGGAAGCGGAACUGCCCCAAAUACUUAGCGGACAAGAAGAAGGCCGGCAACACCAAAGGUAUAUGUGAUAUACAUGUAAUUGAUGUGUACCUUACCAGUACUCGUAGUAGCUCCUGGGUAUUUGAUACCGGUGUGGUUGCUCAUAUUUGUAACUCAAAACAGGAACUACGGAAUAGACGGAGACUGGCAAAGGACGAGGUGACGAUGCGCGUCGGGAAUGGUUCCAAGGUCGAUGUGAUCGCCGUCGGCACGCUACCUCUGCAUCUACCCACGGGAUUAGUUUUAAACCUCAAUAAUUGUUAUUUAGUACCAGCUUUGAGCAUGAACAUUGUAUCUGGAUCUCGUUUAAUUCGAGAUGGCUACUCAUUUAAAUCCGAGAAUAAUGGUUGUUCUAUUUAUUUGAGAGAUAUGUUUUAUGGUCAUGCCCCGCUGGUCAAUGGUUUAUUUUUGAUGAAUCUCGAACGUGAUGUUACACAUGUUCAUAGUGUGAAUACCAAAAGAUGUAAAGUUGAUAACGAUAGUCCCACAUACUUGUGGCACUGCCGCCUUGGUCACAUUGGUGUCAAGCGCAUGAAGAAGCUCCAUGCAGAUGGACUUUUGGAGUCUCUUGAUUACGAAUCAUUUGACACGUGCGAACCAUGCCUCAUGGGUAAGAUGACCAAGACUCCGUUCUCCGGAACAAUGGAGCGAGCAACCAACUUAUUGGAAAUCAUACAUACCGAUGUGUGCGGUCCAAUGAGUGUUGAGGCUCGCGGAGGAUAUCGUUAUGUUCUCACUAUCACUGAUGAUUUAAGUAGAUAUGGGUAUGUAUACCUAAUGAAACACAAGUCUGAAACCUUUGAAAAGUUCAAGGAAUUUCAGAGUGAAGUCGAGAAUCAACGUGACAGGAAAAUAAAAUUCUUACGAUCAGAUCGUGGUGGAGAAUAUUUAAGUCACGAAUUUGGUACACACUUAAGGAAAUGUGGAAUAGUUUCACAACUCACGCCGCCUGGAACACCUCAGAGAAAUGGUGUGUCCGAACGUCGUAAUCGCACUCUAUUGGAUAUGGUGCGAUCUAUGAUGUCUCUUACCGAUUUACCGCUCUCAUUUUGGGGUUAUGCUUUAGAGACUGCCGCAUUCACUUUAAAUAGGGCUCCGUCGAAAUCCGUUGAGACGACACCGUAUGAAUUAUGGUUUGGGAAGAAACCUAAGCUGUCGUUUCUAAAAGUUUGGGGAUGCGAUGCUUAUGUCAAGAAACUUCAACCUGAAAAGCUCGAACCCAAAUCGGAAAAAUGCGUCUUCAUAGGAUACCCUAAGGAAACUAUUGGGUACACCUUCUACCUCAGAUCCGAAGGCAAGAUCUUCGUUGCCAAGAAUGGGUCCUUUCUAGAGAAGGAGUUUCUCUCGAAAGAAUUGAGUGGGAGGAAAGUGGAACUUGAUGAGGUGAUAGUCACCCCUUCCGAACCGGAAAGUAGCGCAGCGCGGGAAAAUGUUCCUGUGGUGCCUACACCGACUGGGGAGGAAGUUAAUGAUGAUGAUCAUGAAGCUUCGGAUCAAGUUACUGAACUUCGUAGGUCCACAAGGACACGUUCCGCACCAGAGUGGUACGGCAACCCUGUCCUGGAAAUCAUGUUGUUAGACAACGGUGAACCUUCAAACUAUGAAGAAGCGAUGGCGGGCCCGGAUUCCGACAAAUGGCUAGAAGCCAUGAAAUCCGAGAUAGAAUCCAUGUAUGAAAACAAAGUAUGGACUUUGACUGACUUGCCCGAUGAGCGGCGAGCCAUAGAAAACAAAUGGAUCUUUAAGAAGAAGACGGACGCGGAUGGUAAUGUGAGCAUCUACAAAGCUCGACUUGUCGCUAAGGGUUAUCGACAAGUUCAAGGGGUUGACUACGAUGAGACUUUCUCACCCGUAGCGAAGCUGAAGUCCGUCUGAAUCAUGUUAGCAAUUGCUGCAUACUAUGAUUAUGAGAUAUGGAAGAUGGACGUCAAAACGGCAUUCCUUAACGGCUUCCUUAAGGAAGAGUUGUAUAUGAUGCAGCCGGAAGGUUUUGUCGAUCCUAAGAAUGCUAACAAAGUAUGCAAGCUCCAACGCUCAAUCUAUGGGCUGGUGCAAGCAUCUCGGAGUUGGAACAUUCGCUUUGAUGAGAUGAUCAAAGCGUUUGGGUUUACACAGACUUAUGGAGAAGCCUGUGUUUACAAGAAAGUGAGUGGGAGCUCUGUAGCAUUUCUCAUAUUAUAUGUGGAUGAAAUACUAUGAUGGGAAAUGAUAUAGAAUUCUUGGAAAGUAUAAAGGCCUAUUUGAAUAAGUGUUUUUCAAUGAAGGACCUUGGAGAAGCUGCUUAUAUAUUAGGCAUCAAGAUCUAUAGGGAUAGAUCAAGACGCCUCAUUGGUCUUUCACAGAGUACAUACCUUGACAAGAUAUUGAAGAAGUUCAAUAUGGAUCAGUCCAAGAAGGGGUUCUUGCCUGUAUUGCAAGGUGUGCAGUUGAGCACGGCUCAAUGCCCGACCACGGCAGAAGAUAGAGAAAAGAUGAGUGUGAUCCCCUAUGCCUCGGCCAUAGGGUCUAUUAUGUAUGCCAUGCUGUGUACCAGACCUGAUGUAAACCUUGCCGUAAGUUUGGUAGGAAGGUACCAAAGUAAUCCCGGCAUGGAACACUAGACAGCGGUCAAGAAUAUCCUGAAGUACCUGAAGAGGACUAAGGAUAUGUUUCUCGUUUAUGGAGGUGACGAAGAUCUUGACUAGUCCGUCUCACGUGAUGAUCGGACACGGCCUAGUUAACUCGGAUCAUGUUUCACUUAGAUGACUAGAGGGAUGUCUAUCUGAGUGGGAGUUCAUUGAAUAAUUUGAUUAUAUGAACUUAAUUAUCAUGAACUUAGUCUAAAAUCUUUACAAUAUGUCUUGUAGAUCAAAUGGCCCACGUUGUCCUCAACUUCAACGCGUUCCUAGAGAAAACCAAGCUGAAAGAUGAUGGCAGCAACUAUACGGACUGGGUCCGGAACCUGAGGAUCAUCCUCAUAGCAGCCAAGAAAGAUUAUGUCCUAGAAGCACCGCUAGGUGAAGCACCAAUCCUAGAGAACCAAGACGUUAUGAACGCUUGGCAAUCACGUGCUGAUGAUUACUCCCUCGUUCAGUGCGGCAUGCUUUACAGCUUAGAACCGGGGCUCCAAAAGCGUUUUGAGAAGCAUGGAGCAUAUGAGAUGUUCGAAGAGCUGAAAAUGGUUUUCCAAGCUCAUGCCCGGGUCGAGAGAUAUGAAGUCUCUGACAAGUUCUUCAGCUGUAAAAUGGAGGAGAAUAGUUCUGUUAGUGAGCACAUACUCAGAAUGUCUGGGUUACACAACCGCUUGUCUCAGCUGGGAGUUAAUCUCCCGGAUGACGCGGUCAUUGACAGAAUCCUUCAGUCGCUUCCACCAAGCUACAAGAGCUUUGUGAUGAACUUCAAUAUGCAGGGGAUGGAAAAGACCAUUCCUGAGGUAUAUUCGAUGCUGAAAUCAGCGGAGGUGGAGAUCAGAAAAGAACAUCAAGUGUUGAUGGUGAAUAAAACCACUAAGUUCAAGAAGGGCAAGGGUAAGAAGAACUUCAAGAAGGACGGCAAGGGAGUUGCCGCGCCCGGUAAGCCAGUUACCGGGAAGAAGUCAAAGAAUGGACCCAAGCCUGAGACUGAGUGCUUUUAUUGCAAGGGAAGUGGUCACUGGAAGCGGAACUGCCCCAAAUACUUAGCGGACAAGAAGGCCGGCAACACCAAAGGUAUAUGUGAUAUACAUGUAAUUGAUGUGUACCUUACCAGUACUCGUAGUAGCUCCUGGGUAUUUGAUACCGGUGCGGUUGCUCAUAUUUGUAACUCAAAACAGGAACUGCGGAAUAAGCGGAGACUGGCGAAGGACGAGGUGACGAUGCGCGUCGGGAAUGGUUCCAAGGUCGAUGUGAUCGCCGUCGGCACGCUACCUCUGCAUUUACCUACGGGAUUAGUUUUAAACCUCAAUAAUUGUUAUUUAGUGCCAGCUUUGAGCAUGAACAUUGUAUCUGGAUCUCGUUUAAUUCGAGAUGGCUACUCAUUUAAAUCCGAGAAUAAUGGUUGUUCUAUUUAUAUGAGAGAUAUGUUUUAUGGUCAUGCCCCGCUGGUCAAUGGUUUAUUCUUGAUGAAUCUCGAACGUGAUGUUACACAUAUUCAUAGCGUGAAUACCAAAAGAUGUAAAGUUGAUAACGAUAGUCCCACAUACUUGUGGCACUGCCGCCUUGGUCACAUUGGUGUCAAGCGCAUGAAGAAGCUCCAUGCAGAUGGACUUUUGGAGUCUCUUGAUUACGAAUCAUUUGACACGUGCGAACCAUGCCUCAUGGGUAAGAUGACCAAGACUCCGUUCUCCGGAACAAUGGAGCGAGCAACCAACUUAUUGGAAAUCAUACAUACCGAUGUGUGUGGUCCAAUGAGUGUUGAGGCUCGCGGAGGAUAUCGUUAUGUUCUCACUCUCACUAAUGAUUUAAGUAGAUAUGGGUAUGUCUACCUAAUGAAACACAAGUCUGAAACCUUUGAAAAGUUCAAGGAAUUUCAGAGUGAAGUUGAGAAUCAACGUGACAGGAAAAUAAAAUUCUUACGAUCAGAUCGUGGUGGAGAAUAUUUAAGUCACGAAUUGUAACAUCCCAAAUUUUCAAUUUGGUAUGUUAUACAUAGAUCAUCAUUGCAUAUCAUGUUUUAUUGCAUUUUGACAAAUCCUCGAUAAAUCCUAAGCAACUCAAGGACCCUCGGAGAGAGUUGGGGAUUUUCUCGAAUUUUUAAAUUUGAUUUUCAUCAAAUAUUAAGACGAGGAUUUUGGUUUUAAUUAUUUUCUCUCCGGAAAAAUAUUUCAUCUUAUACAUAAACGAGAGGAGAAAAUAUGACUUCUCCAAAACAAUUGAAAUACUGGAGGAAAAAUGUUAAAAUCAUUUAUUGGAAUUUAUUUGGAUUUUAUUUGCAAUUUUUAUUGCAUUAAAAAUAUUGCAUGUUUUUAAAAUAUUUAUUUUGUGUUAAAAAACUGUUCACCCUAUUCUAGAUUUUCUAACUAGACGGGGAAAAUUUAUUUUAUAUUUUUCUGACUUUUAUUUAUUUUUCUAUGAAUUAUUUUCCGCGGAACGUUUUAAAAAAAACACGCGCGUGCCCGCCGGGCCAAGCCCAGCCGCCAGGCCGCCGGCCCACCCCGCGCCCCUCUCCUCUCCCCGCACGGCCGCCGCCGCCGCCGUGNNNNNNNNNNNNNNNNNNNNNNNNNNNNNNNNNNNNNNNNNNNNNNNNNNNNNNNNNNNNNNNNNNNNNNNNNNNNNNNNNNNNNNNNNNNNNNNNNNNNNNNNNNNNNNNNNNNNNNNNNNNNNNNNNNNNNNNNNNNNNNNNNNNNNNNNNNNNNNNNNNNNNNNNNNNNNNNNNNNNNNNNNNNNNNNNNNNNNNNNNNNNNNNNNNNNNNNNNNNNNNNNNNNNNNNNNNNNNNNNNNNNNNNNNNNNNNNNNNNNNNNNNNNNNNNNNNNNNNNNNNNNNNNNNNNNNNNNNNNNNNNNNNNNNNNNNNNNNNNNNNNNNNNNNNNNNNNNNNNNNNNNNNNNNNNNNNNNNNNNNNNNNNNNNNNNNNNNNNNNNNNNNNNNNNNNNNNNNNNNNNNNNNNNNNNNNNNNNNNNNNNNNNNNNNNNNNNNNNNNNNNNNNNNNNNNNNNNNNNNNNNNNGGAGCCCCGCCGGAGCACUACCCCGACGAGGUACUGCCUCACUGCCCCGUUCGUCGUUGCCGGUUUUUGUUAAAAAAAACCCUUAGUUUUUUAAAAAGAAAAAAAACCUAGAUCGGUUUUUUUUCGGUUUUAUUAUUUUGCGAGCGUUCACCGAACCGUUCGUUUUAACGAACGCGUUCGUCGGUUUUUCUCUGUUAACGAACGUCCGUUCUUUAACCGUUCGUCCGUUUUUCUUUUUCGUCGGAUUUUUCUGCGAUUAUCUCAGAUUCGAUUCCUGAUCGAAUCUUCGUUUCUGUUUAACUUUUCGCUCGUUUAUCGGAAUCAGGCGAUUCAAGCGCCUAGAGUUUCGUCUCGAAAUUCUCUUUCCGUUUAACCUACUCAAACAAGUUUUUGCUACAGUAAAAUUUGACCUAGAUCCAGAUUAGUAAACAAAGUUUCUUUCUUUCGCAGUUUGACUUUCGUUAUUUCUUUCGAGUUGAUUCUUUUUGCAAACCGGAGUUCUUAAGUUGAACUUUCUGGUUGGAUCUUUCAUUCGAGUUUUACCUGUGCAUUAGAUGAGUACUGAUUGUAUGCUUGUUUGUUUGCGAUAGAGUACCCGGAGUGUGCCGCUUGUUACUUCGAAUCGCUAGGUUUUGCGGAUCAUCGGCAAGGCAAGUAACACUUUGAUCAUACCUUUCCAUACCCAGUUUUAUUGCAUUAGAUCUAUUCCUCAAACAUUGCAUGACUAGGAUCUAAUUAAAUUGUGGGUAUUGGGAAGUAGUUGAGGUAGCACCUAUUACCUGUAUUCUUAUCAAACCCUUGGGAGUUACUUCUACGUUGCUUUUAUUAUUGCCAUGCUAUGCUCGUAGACGUGGAUUGGGUUUGAGUGAAAUUCAUGACAGAUGUGAGAUUGUUAACAAUGGUUUACCUAAGGUGGCAACUAAAACUCACAUCUGGGUGGAUUGAGGUACCUGGGUAUUCCAGGAUUGCCUGUUUUUCUUUUGGACCGCCACCCAGGUUCCAAGGGAUCAUAAGAUUAUUCAUGCUAGAAACUUCCGUGUGCAGCCGCAAGCUAUUAUGGGCUCUAGCAUAGUUGAUUAAGUUGUGUGAACUCUUACAGUGGUAGACUAGCAGAUGUAGGGGAAAGUAGGUGUAACUGUCUACCCAUACGUAAAGUGCAAACACUUCUGAAAGACUGUGUCUUGGUCAUCCGUUACUCAAACACCAUGUAGUGCGAGUAAUCCAACGGAGGAGAUCAAGUCUUGUGGGGAAAAGUGCACAAACCUCUGCAGAGUGUACAAACUAAUCAUGGUUAGCCAUGUCCCCGGUUAUGGACAACUUGAGUAUCUAGUACUUGGAUUAUCAUGUGAAUCUCAUCACUAUGUUACUUCUAAUUAAUUUUGUUGGGUUAUUGAUGACAUUUAAUUGGGAUUGAGAUGCUGUCAACCAUCUCAAUGUUUCACAACCACCAUGAUAGUUAAAUAAAAUUUAUUCCUUUGAAGUAGGAUAAAAUUGGCUUUUCGCAAAAAUUGAAACCAUAGAGCUUUCCACCAGCCAUAUAUGCAUGUAGUAUAGCCUUAUUAUUGUUCAUUAUUCUCUAUGUGUUACAUUGCCAGCAUAUUCUAUGUGCUGACCCGUUUACGGGCUGCAACGUUUCAUGUUGCAGACUCUUCAGACGACGAGUAAGGUGCCUUAGGUCGUGGUCUUAUACUCAGUGAUGCCGCUGGAGUUGAUGGACUCACUUAUCUUCCAAGUCUUCCGCUGUUAUCGUUAUUAGAUGGCCUUAAGCCAUGUUUAUCAUACUUAAUAUCUUUGGAGAUAUUCGAUGUAAUAAGUGUGUGAUUGCUACUCUGUUAUAAAUCCUCCAUUUGUACUGUGCGUGUCAGCAUUACUGAUCCAGGGAUGACACUGGUGCACAGCAGCACAGACCAUUUGAGGUCUGGUCGCUACAAAGUUGGUAUCAGAGCACACGCUGACUGUAGGACACGACCACUAAGCUUAAGCCCUAGAAAGCUUCUCUCUUCUCAUUUCUGACCCCUAUCCACUUUCUACUCUUUUAGGAAUGGCGAAUGCAAGGAGCAAGUUCAUGCAACCAGAUGAAGACACGCCGUUUGGUCGACACUUGAAGGAAGUCACCAAGUACUUGAACAUAGGAAUACCAAGCAUCACCGGAACCUACAACGCCACAUUACCUGAAGAGGAGAGCUGGAAGAUUCAAGUUCACAUUCCAGGAAGGACGUUUGUGCCAGUUACUGAACCCAUAAGAUUGGUUUUCGAAGCACCAACCUGGAGUUUAGGGAAGAGCAUGGCCGCACACGUCGCCAUGAGACGCAUUGGAGAAGUCUACCACCAGGAGCUUAAGGAUACAAUUUACCAAAUUUGUGGACGCCGAGACGCGCAAUGGGAGAUGAUCAGAACCAAGAAGGAUGGAUCAAUUGCAGCUUUCAUCCAGGAGGAGAACCAACACAUUCGUCGCCAGGAGAACCAGAUGUGCACGGACAAGGAAGAACUGAAGAAGGCAUUGACGAAGAUCAAGGAGCUGGAGGAAGAACUCAAGGCUACACGCGAGGAUUAUUUGGAAGAAAUCAACGCACUAGUAGGGAAGAAUGACGACCUAGAGAAGAAGAUUGGAAUAUUCAUGGGAAAUCCAGUGCCAAAGGCAGAAGUCGACGAAUGCACUUGUCCGGAUAACUACAUCAUCAUCGACGACACUGACUCGGAACCAAGUGAAUAUGACUGGGUUGACGAAGCUGGAGCAGACAUCAUGGAGUCUUCAACGGAUCAGAAUUUCUAGUAGACCACCAUAUCAGUAGUAGUUUUCCCCCAUUUAAUAGUAUAGUUCAAGCACUUUGUAACGCUAGCUAGAUCGAUUGUUUUGCCUUGUUUGAAUUGAUUGAGUGAUAUUGAUUGAAUUUGUCUCAUGAGCAUAUGGGUAGUGUUUUCUCUCUAGACCUCAUUCUAUUCUUAACUCUCAUCUUUUCUAAACCUAUCAGAUGCCUCCGAGACGCGACACCGGAUUUGUUUUCCCGCCAGAGAUCACCCAGUUGAUUCAGCAACAGAAUGCCCUGAUGCAAGUGUUAGUGCAGAACCAAGGCAACAACAACAACAACAACCCACCGCCACCACCACCUGUUGAUCACUUAGCCCGUUUCUUAAGGCUAAACCCGUCGGUGUUUUCCAGUAGCACCGAGCCGAUUGUAGCAGAUGAUUGGCUCCGCAAAGUUGGAAGGGAGUUGACCACUGCAAGAUGCACAGAUGCGGAAAGAGUGCGUUUUGCCGCACAUCAGCUUGAUGGACCCGCAGCAUCAUGGUGGGAGAAUUAUACAGCCACGCACCCUAUUGACACUGUCACAUGGGACCAGUUUCAGCAAGCUUUCCGUACAGCACAUCUUUCAGCAGGAGCUAUGGCUAUGAAGAAGCGUGAGUUUCGCAGCCUACACCAAGGAGGACGCACCGUAGGCCAGUAUGUGGAGGAUUUCAGUAAGCUAGCACGUUAUGCACCAGAUGACGUUGCUACAGAUGCAGCCAAGCAGGAGAAAUUUUUGGAAGGGCUGAAUGAUGAACUGAGUAUGCAGUUGAUGGUAGCAACCUUCAACAACUACCAGGAGCUGGUAGAUAGAGCUCUCAUGAUUGAAGGGAAGCAACAGCAGAUUGAAAACCGUAAGAGGAAGUAUGGACAAGGGAAGUAUAACUCAGGAGCUCAGCAGAAGCCUCGAUUUACCCCGAAGCCGGGAGGACAGUUUCAGCAUACCCAUGGAGGAGGUAGUUCGCACAACCAUAAUGGCUCUAAAAAUGGUAAUGGGAAUGGAGGAAGCAACGGACAGAACCGCACCAACCCAUCUACCCCAGCCAAGAGGGACCUGAGCCAAGUCACUUGUUUCAAGUGCCAGAAGAAUGGACAUUAUGCCAAUGAAUGUCCUGAAGCCCAAAAUGGAAAUGGCAAUGGAAGCUCUGGGAAGAAGCCGAACCCGUUCAACAAAGGACACGUGAACCACGUGAGCGUGGAGGAGGUUGAAGCUCAGCCUGAUGCAGUAAUAGGUAAGUUCUUGGUUAAGUCAUUUACUGCAACCGUUCUUUUCGAUACUGGUGCAUCGCAUUCAUACAUAUCAAGGGGAUUUGUGAAUAAGUUUAAGAUGUCCACCAAAGUUCUCAGAAACCCUAUGUUAGUAACCUCGCCAGGAGCAGAGUAUAUGGCCACCCAAGGAUGUUUUCAGAUACCAUUGGCCAUUGGUAGGCAUGUUUUCCCCUCAGACCUCAUAGUUUUGGAGUCGCAAGGUUUGGAUGUGAUUUUGGGGAUGGAUUGGCUAUCGUUGUAUGGAGGAAACAUCGAUUGUGCCAGCAAGACGAUUUUGCUUACCACCCCGGAAGGGAAAAGGAUCAAGUAUGUAUCCCGACAUAUGCCGAAGAGGACUCAAGUAAAUUCCUUAUCAGGAGUUGUACAGGAGGAAGUACCAGUGGUGAAGGAUUAUCCGGAUGUAUUUCCAGAAGAGUUGCCAGGCAUGCCACCAGAUAGGGACAUUGAGUUUUUGAUUGAACUUUUGCCAGGCACAGGGCCAAUAUCUAAGAGACCGUACAGGAUGCCCGCAAAAGAUUUGGAGGAAAUUAAGAAGCAGAUCAAGGAGUUACUGGAUAAAGGCUAUAUUCGCCCAAGUUCGUCACCUUGGGGAUCACCAGUACUUCUAGUGGAGAAGAAAGAUGGAUCGCUGAGGAUGGUUGUUGAUUACCGUGGAUUGAAUGAAGUAACCAUCAAAAACAAGUACCCACUGCCGAUGAUCAAUGAUUUGUUUGACCGCCUACAAGGAGCUAAAGUAUUUUCCAAGAUCGAUCUACGAUCAGGAUAUCAUCAGUUAAAGAUUCGAGAGCAGGAUAUACCAAAGACGGCUUUUACCACCAGAUAUGGAUUGUAUGAGUAUACCGUUAUGUCAUUUGGUCUGACUAACGCACCUGCCUAUUUCGAGAGCCGGAAGGUUUUGUCGAUCCUAAGAAUGCUAACAAAGUAUGCAAGCUCCAGCGCUCAAUCUAUGGGCUGGUGCAAGCAUCUCGGAGUUGGAACAUUCGCUUUGAUGAGAUGAUCAAAGCGUUUGGGUUUACACAGACUUAUGGAGAAGCCUGUGUUUACAAGAAAGUGAGUGGGAGCUCUGUAGCAUUUCUCAUAUUAUAUGUGGAUGACAUAUUAUUGAUGGGAAAUGAUAUAGAAUUCUUGGAAAGAGUAAAGGCCUAAUUGAAUAAGUGUUUUUCAAUGAAGGACCUUGGAGAAGCUGCUUAUAUAUUAGGCAUCAAGAUCUAUAGAGUUAGAUCAAGACGCCUCAUUGGUCUUUCACAGAGUACAUACCUUGACAAAAUAUUGAAGAAGUUCAAUAUGGAUCAGUCCAAGAAGGGGUUCUUGCCUGUAUUGCAAGGUGUGCAGUUGAGCAUGGCUCAAUGUCCGACCACGGCAGAAGAUAGAGAAAAGAUGAGUGUCAUCCCCUAUGCCUCGGCCAUAGGGUCUAUUAUGUAUGCCAUGCUGUGUACCAGACCUGAUGUAAACCUUGCCGUAAGUUUGGUAGGAAGGUACCAAAGUAAUCCCGGCAUGGAACACUGGACAGCGGUCAAGAAUAUCCUGAAGUACCUGAAGAGGACUAAGGAUAUGUUUCUCGUUUAUGGAUGUGACGAAGAGCUCGUCGUAAAGGGUUACGUCGACGCUAGCUUCGACACAGAUCUGGAUGACUCGAAGUCACAAACCGGAUACGUGUAUAUUUUGAAUGGAGGAGCAGUAAGCUGGUGCAGUUGCAAGCAAAGCGUCGUGGCGGGAUCUACAUGUGAAGCGGAGUACAUGGCAGCCUCGGAGGCAGCACAGGAAGCAGUCUGGAUGAAGGAGUUCAUUACCGACCUAGGGGUGAUUCCCAAUGCGUCGGGCCCGAUGACUCUCUUCUGUGACAACACUGGAGCUAUUGCCCUUGCGAAGGAGCCCAGGUUUCACAGGAAGACCAGGCAUAUCAAGCGUCGCUUCAACUCCAUUCGUGAAAGUGUUCAAAAUGGAGACAUAGAUAUUUGUAAAGUACAUACGGACCUGAAUGUAGCAGAUCCGUUGACUAAACCUCUCCCUAGAGCAAAACAUGAUCAACACCAGGACGCAAUGGGUGUUCGAUUCAUCACAAUGUAACUAGAUUAUUGACUCUAGUGCAAGUGGGAGACUGUUGGAAAUAUGCCCUAGAGGCAAUAAUAAAUGGUUAUUAUUAUAUUUCUUUGUUCAUGAUAAUCGUCUAUUGAUCAUGCUAUAAUUGUAUUGUCCGGUAAUCAUAAUACAUGUGUGAAUGCAUAGACCACAACGUGUCCCUAGUAAGCCUCUAGUUGACUAGCUCGUUGAUCAAUAGAUAGUCAUGGUUCCUGACUAUGGACAUUGGAUGUCAUUGAUAACAGGAUCACAUCAUUAGGAGAAUGAUGUGAUGGACAAGACCCAAUCCUAAGCAUAGCAUAAAAGAUCGUGUAGUUUCGUUUGCUAGAGCUUUUCCAAUGUCAAGUAUCUUUUCCUUAGACCAUGAGAUCGUGCAACUCCCGGAUACCGUAGGAGUGCUUUGGGUGUGCCAAACGUCACAACGUAACUGGGUGACUAUAAAGGUGCACUACGGGUAUCUCCGAAAGUGUUUGUUGGGUUGGCAUGGAUCGAGACUGGGAUUUGUCACUCCGUGUGACGGAGAGGUAUCUCUGGGCCCACUCGGUAAUGCAUCAUCAUAAUGAGCUCAAUGUGACUAAGGGUUAGUCACGGGAUCAUGCAUUGCGGUACGAGUAAAGAGACUUGCCGGUAACGAGAUUGAACAAGGUAUUGGGAUACCGACGAUCGAAUCUCGGGCAAGUAACAUACCGAUUAACAAAGGGAAUUGCAUACGGGAUUGAUUGAAUCCUCGACACCGUGGUUCAUCCGAUGAGAUCAUCGUGGAACAUGUGGGAGCCAACAUGGGUAUCCAGAUCCCGCUGUUGGUUAUUGACCGGAGAGGCGUCUCGGUCAUGUCAGCUUGUCUCCCGAACCCGUAGGGUCUACACACUUAAGGUUCGGUGACGCUAGGGUUGUAGAGAUAUGUGUAUGCGGAAACCCGAAAGUUGUUCGGAGUCCCGGAUGAGAUCCCGGACGUCACGAGAGGUUCCGGAAUGGUCCGGAGGUGAAGAAUUAUAUAUAGGAAGUCAAGUUUCGGCCACCGGGAAAGUUUCGGGGGUUACCGGUAUUGUACCGGGACCACCGGAAGGGUCCCCGGGGUCCACCGGGUGGGGCCACCUAUCCCGGAGGGCCCCGUGGGCUGAAGUGGGAAGGGAACCAGCCCCUAGUGGGCUGGGCGCCCCCCAUGGGCCUCCCCCCAUGCGCCUAGGGUUGGGAACCCUAGGGUGGGGGGGCUUCCCACUUGCCUUGGGGGGCAAGGCACCCCCUUUCCCCCUUUGGCCGCCGCCCCCCCUUGAGAUCCCAUCUCCAGGGCCGGCGCCCCCCCAGGGGGCCUAUAUAAAGGGGGGGAGGGCAGCAACAAGACAGCCUUGGGCGCCUCCCUCCUCCCCUGCUACACCUCUCCGUCUCGCAGAAGCUCGGCGAAGCCCUGCCGAGACCCGCUACAUCCACCACCACGCCGUCGUGCUGCUGGAUCUCCAUCAACCUCUCCUUCCCCCUUGCUGGAUCAAGAGGAGACGUCGCUGCACCGUACGUGUGUUGAACACGGAGGUGCCGUCCGUUCGGCACUCGGUCAUCGGUGAUUUGGAUCACGGCGAGUACGACUCCGUCAUCCACGUUCAUUGGAACGCUUCCGCUCGCGAUCUACAAGGGUAUGUAGAUGCACUCCUUUCCCCUCGUUGCUAGCAUACUCCAUAGAUGCAUCUUGGUGAGCGUAGGAAAAUUUUAAAUUAUGCUACGAUUCCCAACAAUUUCAGCCCAACCGACGAUGGACUCGUCGGAGCCCGACAAUUUUUUACCAAGGUGCUCCAAUUCUGCUCAAAUCCCCUCCAAUUUUCGGCGACCAACCCCGAUUCCGACCGAUUUUGAUCAAUUCCUACGUAGGCUACCGAGCGGGGCAUGGGGCGAGCAGCCAAACGGGUCCGCAUGCGCGCGUGAACAGGGGAGAGGGGUGGGGCCGCGGGCGUGCGUGAACAGGGGAGAAGGGUGGAGCCGCCGACGCGCGUGAACAGAGGAGAGGGGUGGGGCCGCGGGCGCACGUGAACACGGGAGAGGGGUGGGUCGCCGGCGUGCGUGAACAGAGAAGAUGGGUGGGGCCGUGGGCGCGCAUGAACAAGGGAGAGGGGUGGGGCCGUGGGCGCGCAUGAACAAGGGAGAGGGGUGGGGCCGCGGUGCACGCUGGGGGUUAGCCGGCCGGGGCGCCCGCCCACGAGCCGCGCGCGAGAAGGAAAGCGGGUCGGGGUUGUGGGCAGGAGCUCGAAGGCGGCUGGCCGCGGUGCGGACAUCCACUAGAUCAAGAUCGGGUACAUGGUGACCUUCAAGUUGGUGACUCCCACGCCGUGAAGGUGAUCGUCUUCAACAACGACGGCAUUAAAGUGAUGACCAAGUUGCAGGAGGCACGACGACGCAUUCAUCGUGAACGUUUAUGAGAGCUCUAUAUUGCGCAUGCUGGUUUGGUUACGACUGUGUCAUAAUGGUUCGGUUGAAAACUACUUAAUUUAAGUGUCGUACUAUGUUUGAAAACUGUUUGAAUUGAUUUAAAACUAUGUUUAUAUGAUAUUUGUUUGUGUGUCAUUGGUUUGUUCCGCAUGCCUAGUGUAUUGAUAACCUCACCACCUUCACGAGGAAGUUACCAAACAACAUGCCCUGCAUGUAAUCAAACACCAUGACUUGUGUUUUCGCCUAAACAAGUGGGCAACCAAACAACCUACCUUUCGUUUCGUCCCACGCAGGCUAGAAGGUAUGCAGUCAACCAAACAAUAUACAGAUGUUAAUAUUUUUGCAUGUUUACUUUCAAUUGAGACAUAGAUGCAAUGCAAGCAAAAGUAGAUACGGCAAACAAACACACCCAUGGUGCCUAUCAUGUUUUCCAAAAAACGCACCUCCGAAGGUGGGAUUUUUUUUAACAGAAAUCCUCCGCUACAUUUUAUUUUAUUUUUCCCUGAAAAAAAAGAAGCGGAGGAUUUCUGCCACGAUACUAUCCGCACUGUGCGCGGAGCAUCUCUUCCCCGUAGGCACACACACGGCCGUCCCUGGACCCACCUGUCUUCCACGGACAUCGACUCACCCAUCUCCGAACCGCCCCCCCUCUGUCGCCACACCCCCGUCCCCACGCCCGCGGCGCAAAACCCCGCUAAAUUUUUCGCUCCGCCCGCCCCCAAGUCUCGCCACCGCCGCCAUCCUCCAAAUCGUCGGAGAAGAUAAUCCCCAGGACCCCCUUAGGGAUGUACGCCGACAUCCAGAAGGGUCGGCCGGGCUGCCGCCCCGUCGACGCCGCCUCCAUGGCGAAGCUCAUGAAGGUCUGGGCGAGGUACUUCCCCGAGGAAACCGAGCUCCAGGUCCCGGCGGACGACCCCAGGGCCAGGCUCGUCGGCGACCUGGUUAAGGUCCUGGAGCUGGAGGAGAGGGCCAAGCUCCUCCCACGUGUAAGCAUCUGUCUCCAUUCCCCGUAUAGCGCCUCAUUUUUGGCCCAUCUCUUAUGGUGACGCGAUUCUAGGGUUGCUUACUCGGUUCGGCCGCGACGAAAUUAUGGCGGUUGCUGCGCGACUGGUUGGUGCCUAGGGUUUAUCGGAUUGGCUGAUUGAUCGUUAGUUGAAAUUUUCUGGGAGUGGCAGCUGACAUUGUAACUGUAUAUAGUUAAAAUGCUUGCAGUCUCGUGCCUAAUGUCUGUUUGGUUCCAAUUAUUUAAGUUCCUGAGCUUGCCAUUGCUAGACAUUUAAUUGGGUACCAUUGUUAGUAAAAUGUGUGUUGGUUCCUUGCUGUUAGGGCAGAAUUUGGGUAAUAAUUUACUUAUCUGAUCGAAUCGACCUCGAAAUUUGGGGCAGAAUUUGUUUCUACAAUCUUCAAGAUCAAGGUCUCAAUGCGAUGGUGGCUCCUGGUAUAUGAAGUAGUGACAUAUCUAAUCAGAAAAGGGGAAUACUCUUCUUUAUUAGGAGGGAAAAGAAUCAAGAGGAGCUUGUAAUUUUGUGAAUAACUUUGAUACUUUUGUGCUCCACUUUGUCAGUAUCAUAAGAUUACUUAUACGUUUAUACCCCAAUGUGCUGCUGCGAUAACUACCUAAAGCACGACGCAAUGUUCCAAUUGAAAAAUGAAAUCAUGGCAUCAUGUAGUUGCACAAUAAAUUACUAAUCGGGUGGAAAUGAUUUAAACACAUCGCUUCAUAGUGUGCUUUUGUCAUUACAUGGAAAAAUAUUUCCGGUUCCAGCAAAUGAACGAAUUCAUGUUAUUAUAACUUAUGACUACAUUCACAGGUUGAAGAUGAUGGUGUUGUCUUCUUCCUUCCGAUUGAUUUCCAGCAGCUUAAGAACUUGUGCGGUGGUACCAACCUCUUAGAUGCUCUCAGGGAAAAUCCUAAAGAAGCCUUGCUUUGCAUGGGAGUUGCAGUUCAUCUGGUUGAUGCUUCAUUUCAUGCUAAAAUUAUUAGUGUUGUCAGUUGUGCUUUGUUUUUUCACUCGCUGGACUUUGAUUCUUGAUGUUUUCUUCAGGUUAAGUGCUCGGGCAAUGGCCUCCAGUUGAGCGACGUAGACAAGGUCAAUAUCAGGCUUUACAACCACACCGAGACAAUAAUUGCUUUGAAGAAUUUGAAAGCGGCCUAUAUUAGUAAGAACUUCUGUCUUUAUCCGUGUGUUCUGCAUCUAAAUGAAGUACUGACUUGUUGAUUCACCUCAUAGAGAAACUAGUGACAGUGCGUGGUACUGUUGUAAAAGUCAGUACUGUGAAACCUCUAGUUCUGGCGCUGGAGUUCAAAUGCAUGAAGUGUGCUACAGUCAUCCGUCGUGUGUUCUCUGACGGGAAAUUUUCACCUCCAGUAUCCUGCAUAAUUCAGGGCUGCAAGGGCAGAACCUUCACCCCAUUGAGAUCUACUGCCAAGUUGAUAGAUUUUCAGAAAAUAAGGCAAGUGAUAAAUAGAUAAUCUGUGUCAUUCUCUGCUUAUAACACUAAGCUCUGUUUUUAUUAUUUUCAAUCCAGGAUACAGGAGCUUUCUAGUGCUGAAAACCGUGAAGAAGGCCGAGUGCCACGAACUAUAGAAUGUGAGCUUAUAGAAGAUCUUGUAGAUUGUUGCAUCCCUGGAGAGGUUGUAACGGUAGCUGGAAUCGUCAAAGUGCUGAACAACCAUAUGGAUGUUGGAGGAGGUACAAUUUUGAAGAAACUAGUAUCUUAUUUCUCGUUGUUCAUUUCUGAACCUUCCUGGAUACUAUAUUUUACAUUGUUUCAAAGCCUGAAUCCUCUUUGCAAAAAAAAUAAAAAUGCUAAUGUUCAGGUGUCCCAAAUUUCCUGCAACACCUGUAGAGCACAUAUGUUUUCAGUCUUUUGUUAAGGUUGUUCAGUAGUUUGGGUUGGUUGUCUAGUUCUGGUGCAUUAUGGACUACUAGGUGUAACCGUAUCAGGUAGUUCACAAGAACAAUUAUCAAGUUCCAUGUUACUCUUAGGGAAAACCUAUCUCCUGCUACGUUUGUUAUCCCUAAAACCUCUCCUCAUUUUAUCUUUACCUUAACCAAAACAUUCACUCUUUUUUAGACAUUGUUGCUUUCUAUGAUUUCCUUUAAUAUAAGACUCAAGAAUUGUUUGUAGAACAAUGAUGAUAGCCAAAAGGUUACUAUGUGUGGCGUCCAUGUCCUUGCCACAUGCAAUAGUCGUGAUGAUUUCUCUGUCAUGCACGGUAUCCCAUACAAAAGGCCAUGCACGCCACACAAAGCAGGAAAGUGUCGGAUCAACAGACCAUGUCAGCAAUGAGACGUGUCCAGGAGGGAUAUGUCGGGACAGACUCGGUGCUCCUGGAGGCAGCAUCCACUGCCACUGUCUUGCCGCAGCCAAAAGUUGUGGGUGAGGGGAGGACAAGUUCAAUCCCCAUGCCUCCUCAGUGCCAUCAAGGGUUAGACUGUUAGAGCAGAUUAUAGGUGGUAGGUGCAACAUAUCGGCUGGAUGGGAGAUACAAAGAGUGAGAGAUAGAGGUGAAUUGCGUCUUCAUUGAUUUAAUAUAUUACUCCCUCCGUUCCAAAUUACUCGUCGCAGAAAUGGAUGUAUCUAGAACUAAAAUACAUCUAGAUACAUCCAUACAUGCGACAAGUAAUUCGGAACGGAGGGAGUACAUUACAGUUCCUUUAUGUAGUCUCUACUGGCGUAUCUGUGUAUGACCUUAUACCUAAUAAUCCUAAGUUCCUAACUGACCACAACUCAUAUUUGAAUCUAGUUGCACUGUCCUGGACUGGUCUCGAGAUCAAUGAUACCAAUGGCAUUGAUCCGGGUGGACUAAUUGAAUGCACUGGAGCCCGAGUCAUAGACAGCCAGUAAUAGGUUUGGGUAGUUGCGGGAGCUGCAGCGUUGGCACAACUGGCCUGUAUUCUAGGCCCAGCUGAAUUGGGUUCAGCUGCUGCCCGUCUGGUGGUUAUACACCCCACAACUGAUCCCAUGAUCAUAUCCUGAUCUCUUGUGUAGUUCUUUCUGGUUCUACCAUGCAAACACAAUCAGUGAAGUUCAUAUUAGUCUGAUGCCGGUGCAUUCUUUUUCCAAAACAUUCUUGUUUGUACUAUGUAGAUGCAUAUUUUCUUAAAUUGUCCUGUGGAUAUAUACAUAUAUUUUUAAUAUCUUCAGGUAAGUCCAAAAGCAGAAAUCAGGGUUUAUACUACUUGUACUUGGAAGCAAUCUCAGUAAGGAACUCCAAGGCCCAUGUUGUUUCAGAAAAUUCAGAUGCAAGUUCUACUGAUAUUCUGGCUACUGGAUCCUUCAGUUUCGAAACUUUUACUGAUAAGGAUCUUAAAUUCAUCACCGAAUAUAAUAGCGAGCAUGGUGCUGAUGUAUUUCGUCAAAUACUUCACUCCUUUUGCCCCUCCAUCUAUGGGCAUGAACUUGUAAAGGGUAAUUUUCUAUUCUAGUACACUGUUUUAAAUCCUAAUGUGGUAUUUUCUUGCAGUAAUUUAAUUAGAAGGUAUUUGCGCUGGCUAUUUAAUGUGAUUAAAUAUUUACAUUUUGUCUGCUCAGUGUUGUCCAAACAUUUGGAAAUAAAUCAAUCUGUUGUGCUCUCUUUAGUUUCUGUAUAUAAGAAAUGAUAACUAUUAUUUUAGCUUCAUUACUUGUGGACAUGUGCAGCGUUUUCAGUAACGAUUAUUUGAUUAUUCAUUAUUUCACGGUAAGUACUCUUGUGCCGUCUCCAAAAAAACCAAUUCAGCUGUGAGGAAUUGAUCAAGCUAUUAGUGCAGAGUUCAGUAAGGGGAUAUGUUCUCUUUCUUUUCAAGAGCCAGCGUUCUAAAGAAUGAAGGAAAGAAAAGAGUGCAAACUGUAUUUUUGAACGUAAAAAUAUUAAAUUAUCAAAAGUUCGACGAGUAGAAUAAAGACAUGCCUUAUUUUCUAAGAGAGCAAACAUCAAGAAUGAAUGUUUGUCCAUCUCCAGUUCUUCUUAUGAUCAAUACCUGCAUCUUCAUUAGUACAUGACGACCUAGCUACCGCUUGCUGACUUAAAUCUUGGUGGGAAGGCGGUGCCUAAUGCUUAGGCAGCCGUCUAGUCCAAUUUUAGAACACUGUCGAUAGUGCAGAGUUCUCAUUUCAGCGCAGUAGCAUUUGCUUGGAUGCCGCUUCUUCUGAUUCGUUUUGUUUCUUUGUUGCAUUAUAUUACUGGACAUGACUAAAUUAAUGUUUCUAAAUUUCAGCUGGUAUCACUCUUGCGCUUUUUGGUGCUGUGCAGAAGCAUUCAAUGGAUCAGAACAAAGUCCCAAUUAGAGGAGACAUCCAUGUUAUUAUUGUUGGUAAUCCUUAUAAUUUACCAAUCAUGAUCCAUGUAGUACAUGCUUAGCACUUCCCAGGAUGCAAUCAUACUCUUGCUUAAUGUUGUCGCAGGCGAUCCAGGACUAGGCAAGAGCCAAUUACUAAAAGCUGCAGCAUCUGUUUCCCCACGGGGAAUAUAUGUAUGCGGGAAUACAACCACAAAUGCUGGUCUAACAGUUGCUGUGGUUAAAGAUUCAAUGACAAAUGAUUAUGCAUUUGAGGCUGGUAAGCAUGGAAGAUUUAUUUGUUCCUCACACAUUCUGUGGAGAACCUUGUCAGAAAGUCAGCUAAUUCGAUCAUUUGUUGUCAUAUAAUUGGUUGUUCUACUGUUUUGUGGCCGAUGUGGUUUGAAGUCUUAGAAUUUGUGAUUGGAUCAAAAUAAUGUUAAGCUCUUGGCUUUACAGGGGCCAUGGUUCUUGCUGACCGUGGGCUAUGUUGCAUUGAUGAGUUUGACAAAAUGUCAGCAGAGUAUCAGGUAUUAUUUUUAGUUUUCACCUGAUACAACCUUCUUGGUGAAAUGUUCAUUCAGUAAAAGAUGUUCUAUACUUUCCUUGUUUGAAAUUGAAUUUGUGUUCUCAGUCCUUACUGGAAGCCAUGGAGCAGCAGUGUGUAUCUGUGGCAAAGGCUGGCCUUGUGGCGAGUUUAUCUGCCCGCACUUCUGUGCUGGCAGCUGCUAAUCCUGUUGGUGGUCAUUACGAGUGGGUUAAUCUUUUCCAUCCUUUGAUAAAAUUUUCUACCCCUGCUUAUCGUAUGAUGUUUGUCAUUCUGGAUAUGUUGUCUUCAUUCAUCUUUCCUUCUUCAAUUGAUACUCAUUACCUGUACUGUUAUCUCUGUGCGUAUGCGCGCGAUGUGCAAUUACUACAGUGUGAUUGUUUUUGUCAACGUAAUGUUCUUUUUGCACUCACACAACCACACAAGUCACCGUGCCUGGAACAGGCAGACCUGUAAGCAAAUACCAUUUCCUUGUGUAUUCUGGUGUUGUUCCUUAUUUUUGCUUGUCAGUGAGAUGUAGGUAACAGAUCUUAAAUUCCUGGGUUGUUUUCAACUUUUAGUAAUACUAUUUUUGCAGCCGAGGCAAAACAGUGAAUGAGAAUUUAAAGAUGAAUGCUGCCCUGCUCUCUCGGUUUGACCUGGUUUUCAUUUUACUUGACCAGCCAGACUUGUUUCUAGAUAAGAGAGUAUCAGACCACAUAAUGGCAGUAAGUUUUUGUUAUCCAUUUUUUGUCCACAUCUUAAGCAUAUAGUACCGAUGAGCAAUAUCACCACAUAUAAUAAAUGUGUCAGGGCUUUAAUCUAAUUAAAAAAACUAAGGAAAAAACAACAUUUUCUACACGCAGCUCCAUACCAAUGACAGAAGUCCUUGCUCAUCCAACAAGAGGCUAAGAACAGGUCAUUCUUUGGUUAUUCCAUAGCAUUUUUAGUUCCUUUUUACAUGUGAAACCGUAUACAUCGUUAUUGAUUUGCAACUUUGCCCCAUGCCCAGUGCCUCAAUUUAAUGGCAGUAUGGGGAUUGGAAUUGAUGAGAAAAAAUUAGCUUCAAGGCUGAGACUACACCCUGAGAAAGAUAGGGACUUUGUUCCGUUACCUGAACCACUUCUUCGCAAGUAUAUAUCUUACGCGAGAAGCUAUGUUACCCCCCGGUAUUUUGUCAGCUCCUUUUCACUUAUCAAUACCAUAUAUGUAAUGCAAUGAGUUCUCAUUUUGUUAUUUUUCUUCUCUCGGCUCAAGUGUGUCAGAACCAGCAGCGGUGGUACUGCGAAAAUAUUACUUGAAUUUGAGAGCGCAUAGUACUUGUUCUGAUGGCACACCCAUCACAGCGAGACAAUUGGAAAGCCUUGUGAGGUUAGCAGAAGCUCGCGCUCGGGUGGAUCUAAGAGAAGAAGUGACUGAACAAGAUGCGAAUGUAAAUAAGUAGAAUACUUACCCCCCGGUUCCCUCCUCCCCAUUUUGUACAUAUGCGCACCUUGCACCCUUGCACUGCCAGCUUGGAUUUCUUCAUACUUCAUACCUAAAUUACCAGCAGAGAAUUUUUCUGUUGGUUUAGGUUCUUGUCCAUGAUUGCUGGGAAAAUCUGAGUUCUUUCUCAUGCUAGUUUUCAUCCUCAGCAAAUUACUGAAUCAAACUCAGAAGCAUGAUGAAUUAUGUUUUUUAAUCUCCAUAUCAUGUCGAUGUUGCAGAUUUAUUUUUUCUGUCUGUUUGCUGCUUUAUAAAUCUGAAAAUGUGAACGUACGGUGCUUAUCGCAUGCCUAAGGCUUAUGCAAAGUGUUGUCUGGCAAAUAGACAGCCGGAUAGUUAGAUGACAUCAAGAGGCACACCUAUUUAAUAAAAAAUGGGCAUGCAAUCUCAUUCUGCGUUUUAUUAUGUUGCAGGAUGUUGUUGAGAUCAUGAAUGAAUCCUUAUAUGACAAAUAUGUUGAUGAGCAUGGUUGUGUGGACUAUGCUCGGAGUGGUGGGAUGAGCCAACAAAAGGAGGCAAAAAGACUUAUGAGUGCCUUAAACAAGCAAUCUGAGUUGCAGCAAAAGGAUCAGUUUUCAAGAGCCGUAAGCAAUUAUGCAUCUAAAAUAUUUUUGAUGAAAGGCUGGUCUGUUAUUGCAUAUACGCAAACCAACUGACAUGGAAAGAGUGCCAAUUUUAGUUCAGUUACAAUUCUGGUCCUGCUAUGAUCGACGAAAUUUUGACAUACUUGCUUUUUGUGCAUUUUGAUUCUUUUGUUACGCGGUUUCUCCAGUCAAUAGGAGCAUCUUCUUGAGGUUCCUCUGAUGUUCUGUAAUUUUCCCUUUGUAGGAGAUACGGAGCUUAGCAGAUAAAAUCAGCUUGCAAGUCCCGGAUUUAGAUGAUAUUAUGGAAAGAUUGAACAGUGCCGGUUUUAUUGUACAUAAAGGACAAAACAUAUACCAGGUAUUGUCUCAUAAAACUGCUUGACAUCAAGAAGUUUUGAUGUAUACAUUAGAUGGUUAUCCUGGUGUCGUGCUGAUUAUUGAUUAUGAGUUUAUGACUGUCAGGCUCGUGAUGAGCCCUCCACUGAGAAUCUAACUUAUUAUUGUCUGUGAAACAGAUAUUGACCUCAUCAUGUUCACGGACCCAGCCAACAAGGUCAAGAUGGUGAGUUCUCUUACACCCUACAUGAAAACAUGGGAGUUUGGUGUUGGUAUUAUGCUAAAUUUUAUAUCUGUGCCACACGUUAACGUCUGGUUGAUUAACAGUUACUUUGGGUCAGUGUCCAACACUUGCCAUUGUUGUGACAAGAUAACUGUUCAAAGGUUUCCUCUUUGCUGCCGAUUCAUGAUCGUUUUUUUUCUGGCAGAUGUAGGGGGGAUAUGUUCUGCAACUAGUAUGGACCGUUAUGUACAGUAUAGUCAUGUGAUGGCCUCUAAUUAAAAUGUGCGGAUAGCUCUGUUAAUGCUGUUUAUCGUAGCAGCUGUAGCUGAUAAUGACAAAAUUAGUAUCCUUACUAGUUCCAGCAUGUUAAAGAAACAUCCUGUUUUCGUUAAAGAAUCGUCUAUGUCCUGGACAUUGGUGAUCAUGAAUGCUGAUUCUUUAUGUGAAAGAAACAUAGUGUGUUUUUUUGCGGGGAAGAAACUUAAUGCUUCUAUGAGACUUGGAAUGGAAAUAACCCCUUAGGCCUGAGAAAUAGCAAACCCGCUUUGCUUACGGUUAUGUUUUUAUUUGGACGAACGCAGCAAUGCUGCUUCAUUUUAUAUUAAGAGAAAGAGUUACAACAAGUAAUUGGGCGGUGAUGAAGGUGACCACCAAGGUAGACAAAUGGAGGGCACAGAUAACAAGUUUCAUAGAAUCAUAGUACCAUCAAGGAGGCCUCCAUGUUAGCCUCCUUGGUGGUGUCACCACUCUUCUACAUUUUGCUCUACGGGAAUGUGGAACGCUGGUGUUUUAUCCUACGUCUGUGCUCUACGCUUACCAGUCGAAUUGUUUUGUGUGCUAUCCAUUUUUACAGAGAAAGCAGCCUUUAGAUUGCUCAAUCAAUAGGUCUUUUUCAAGCAUAGGCAAAAGGUAAUUUUAGGGGUCAUGGAGCCAUAUAUAUCUAUAAAUGAUAAUGAUGUUGUGCCCGCCCUGUUAGAUUCUCUCGGGUAGUGAACAAAGGUUGCUUUUCACAAACUCAGUCGCCUAGACUCAACGAUCAGUCUUGCUAUCAUAGUUGAAGCCUACCCGGUUACACCCCAUUUGCAGCGCCAUGGCUGACCUCAACAUCCUUUUUUUUUCUUGAGGUGAUUGCCUCACAUCUUGGGCAUGAACCAUGAGAGGUUCACCUGGGGUCGAUCGAUCUCGCUCACGCCGUUUGCUACCAGGUUUCUUCGCAACAGCUGUUUUGAAGUUGGCAGCCAGGACCAUGAGCAACGUAAACACGCAAUUGGAUCGAUGGGAGCUUGGAACUUCUCCCCAUUAAUGUGCCGCCAGCGUCUUCCACCGUUUUAUGAAAUGUACUACCCGCUGCUCCUAAAUACAGUACAAGUCUUUUUAAUGAUUUUAAUAUGAACUACAUAUGGAGCAAAAUAAGUGAAUCUACACUCUAAAAUAUGUCUAUAUACAUCUGUAUGUAAUCCUUAUUGAAAUUGAAAUCUCUAAAAAGACAUAUUUUUUUAAGGACGGAGGGAGUACUACGGAGUGUGUAAGUAGUUCCAGUGAUACUUUUCCUGCCCUAUCUGCCGCCAAUGCUUCACUUGUUCCGUGUUGGAAUGGGGCAUAUCUUUCGUUGCCCAUUAGUAUAGACGCCAAUGAGCAAUCAAACUAGUUUCCUCAUCGUAUCCUCUUGGGUUGUGCAGAGUUUGCAGUGAAAAACAUAAUCAGCUGUUAUUUGCAUAACUCUUCCAGUGUGAAUUACUACUACAAUCAGCAAAACUGCAUCCAUGUCAUUAUGGAUUUUGCACACAAAAAAACAUGAUACAGAAGCAUUGCAGAGGGCAGAUAAAACUUGCUAUCCAAAUCAUGGAAACAAAACUCAAUAGCGACAGACAGUCAACAGCAUCUCGCUAGUACAACUUCAGGUUACGUAUAUAGGAAUGAAAAUGCUAAAUGGUGGACGAGCUCCAUGGAGCUCGUUUUUUUGAAAAAAAAAACCCCGGAAAUUAUAGCUCCCAAGUUUCAAAAAAUCCUAAAAAGAUCACACGCGUUCAUACAGAUGUAAAUUUUAAAGAUGAUACUAUAAAUUAAUGGCGAGAGCUUCACUAGUUAGAGAAAAUCGUGAUUCUGAAAAUGGUGAACAUGUUUUGUGUAGCUCUUCAUCGUUAGAACGUGUAGAUUUUUCUCAGAAUAUUUUUAUUCAAAAUGUGUUUUUUGCUUCUUUUUGCUCAGGACAUUAAUAAUAUCCAAUCUAACCCAAAUAUCCAAUCCAAUUCACAGGUCGAUUGGUAUGGAUUUUUUUUCAGUACUACAGUACUGCAAAACUAUCUCAUCAUGCAAAAAAGAUUUUUUAAACAAACAUCAACAACAUAACACAGACAAUCAUAGCACAUGAGAUAAAACCCACUAGCCAGCAGAGUAACACAGCAACAAUAUAUAUCCAGAUCAUGGAAACAAUACUCUUAAUAGCAACUGUUAAGAGAAAGCAACAGCAGAGAAGGAACAAAUCUCGCUAGUACAACUUCAGGUUAUAUAGGACAUUGUAAACAUAGCAGGCAACUUUCCUCCUCAAACGACCAGAGCCUUACAGUCCAUUCCAUCCUUGCCUAACAAAAAUGCAACCUAAGACCUGGGCUUCUCCUUCUUCUCCUUGAAGAGAG
rnacentral:lncRNA from 1 species